AUUGAACGCUGGCGGCAGGCCUAACACAUGCAAGUCGAACGAGUGGCGGAGGGGUGAGUAAUGUCUGGGAAACUGCCUGAUGGAGGGGGAUAACUACUGGAAACGGUAUCUAAUACCGCAUUCCCUCAGGUGUCCCCAUAUGGGAUUAGCUAGUAGGUGGGGUAAAGGCUCACCUAGGCGACGAUCCCUAGCUGGUCUGAGAGGAUGACCAGCCACACUGGAACUGAGACACGGUCCAGACUCCUACGGGAGGCAGCAGUGGGGAAUAUUGCACAAUGGGCGAAAGCCUGAUGCAGCCAUGCCGCGUGUAUGAAGAAGGCCUUCGGGUUGUAAAGUACUUUCAGCGGGGAGGCGUUACCCGCAGAAGAAGCACCGGCUAACUACGUGCCAGCAGCCGCGGUAAUUC
rnacentral:rRNA from 1 species